rnacentral:rRNA from 1 species
UACGGAGGAUGCAAGAGUUAUCCGGAAUGAUUGGGCGUAAAGCGUCCGCAGGUGGCAUCUCAAGUCUGCUGUCAAAGCCCCCAGCUUAACUGUUAAGAGGCAGUGGAAACUGAGAAGCUAGAGAGCAAUAGGGGUAGUGUGAAUUCCAGGGGUAGCGGUGAAAUGCGUAGAGAUCGGGAAGAACACCAGUGGCGAAAGCGCUCUACUAGGUUGCAUCUGACACUGAGGGAUGAAAGCUAGGGGAGCGAAUGGG